rnacentral:misc_RNA from 1 species
AAGUCGUAACAAGGUUUCCGUAGGUGAACCUGCGGAAGGAUCAUUUCCAAAAAAAAAAAUGAACAUUUAUAUACACCGUAUUUGGUGUGUGAAGUGUGUGGUGGUAUCCAAAACAUUUUAAUUUACUCUCUCUGACAACAUGGUCAUCGCGUAUGCCAAGUUUGGAAGAGAGAGGCCUUGAUGAACCACAUCCGCAAAUGUAUUGGCGUUUGUUUGUCUAAACAAACAACACUAUACAUCAUCGGACGUUAACAUUAUACUGUCUCGAUAUAUUUCUACUCGGAUUUGCACUUGUUGCCCUAAGGCACCAGGUCAAAACCAACAACACAAAAGUACCAAUAUACAGACAACUUUUAACGGUGGAUCUCUUGGCUCGU